GAUGAAGAACGCAGCGAAAUGCGAUAAGUAAUGUGAAUUGCAGAAUUCAGUGAAUCAUCGAAUCUUUGAACGCACAUUGCGCCCCCUGGUAUUCCGGGGGGCAUGCCUGUCCGAGCGUCAUUACAACCCUCAGGCUCAGCUUGGUAUUGGGCCCCGCCGACCCGGCGGGCCCUAAAGUCAGUGGCGGUGCCGUCCGGCUCCGAGCGUAGUAAUUCUUCUCGCUCUGGAGGUCCGGUCGUGUGCUCGCCAGCAACCCCCAAUUUUUUUCAGGUUGACCUCGGAUCAGGUAGGGAUACCCGCUGAACUUAAGCAUAUCAAUAAGCGGAGGA
rnacentral:misc_RNA from 1 species